CCUACGGGAGGCAGCAGUGGGGAAUAUUGGACAAUGGAGGUAACUCUGAUCCAGCAAUUCUGUGUGCAUGAAGAAGGUUUUCGGAUUGUAAAGUGCUUUCAGCAGGGAAGAAGAAAGUGACGGUACCUGCAGAAGAAGCGACGGCUAAAUACGUGCCAGCAGCCGCGGUAAUACGUAUGUCGCGAGCGUUAUCCGGAAUUAUUGGGCAUAAAGGGCAUCUAGGCGGCACGACAAGUCAGGGGUGAAAACUUGCGGCUCAACUGCAAGCUUGCCUUUGAAACUGUAGUGCUAGAGUAUUGGAAAGGUGGGCGGAACUACACGAGUAGAGGUGAAAUUCGUAGAUAUGUGUAGGAAUGCCGAUGAUGAAGAUAGCUCACUGGACGAUAACUGACGCUGAAGUGCGAAAGCUAGGGGAGCGAACAGGAUUAGAUACCCGUGUAGUC
rnacentral:rRNA from 1 species